UUCCUCCACCAUCCUGGUAUGAGUGGUUGACUCCAUUUCUUGCCAUGUCUUCUCACAAGACUUGGGAAUCAAGGGAUUUCUGGCCAAGAAACAAAAGCAAAAAUCGUCCCAUUCCCCAGUGGAUUUGGAUGAGAACUGGUAAUAAAAUCGGGUACAACUCCAAGAGGAGACAUUGGAGAAGAACCAAGCUGGGUCUAUAAGGACUUGAACAUGAGAUGAUGGCACACAUAUUUAUGCUGUAUUAA